CACGUAGGCACCAAGCGUUGUCCGGAUUUAUUGGGCGUAAAGAGCUCGUAGGCGGUUCAGUAAGUCAGGUGUGAAAUCUUUGGGCUUAACCCAAAGCGUGCACUUGAUACUGCUGUGACUUGAGUUCGGUAGGGGGAGUGGGGAAUUCCUAGUGUAGCGGUGAAAUGCGCAGAUAUUAGGAGGAACACCGGUGGCGAAGGCGCCACUCUGGGCCGAAACUGACGCUGAGGAGCGAAAGCGUGGGUAGCAAACAGG
rnacentral:rRNA from 1 species